GUCAUCAAGUGUGUUGGGCUGCACAUCAAGUGUGUGUAGUAUUUCUUCUGCAAUGCAGGUGCCCGCAGCUCACAUCUUAGAUCGUUGAUAGCCCGAGGGUCUAAUGCCUCAGCAGUGACUCCUAAAGGACAGAGUGGAGUGGAAACUUAAGGGUUCCUUGGAAAGUCAGUUGUGCUGGAUGCGUGAAAAGACCUGUGAGGAAGAAUUCUUCACUAACAACACACAUGUGUCGGUCUGCCUUACACUGUGCAGUUAGUCGAGCUCCAUUUGUUGGGACUCCAUAGAGAAAAACACAGAACCCGUGCUGAGGCAAGACACAUGCGUCACGUGGCCCUGAACAAAGGCGGUGAACUUUAUCCGGCAGUAACCUAAUCUCCUGGAUCGUUUACCAACAACACUCAGAGUGAUCUCCGGGAUUACCUUGGGCUUUGGCCAGCACCAGGGAGACUGGGCUGAACAGAAGUGCUGGGAUUGCAGGCUCGUGCCGCCAUGGUUGGUUUAUACAGUACUGGGAAUCCAAUCCAGGGCUUCAUGCGUUCUAGCAAGUAAUCCACUAAAGAAACCAUCCUCAGCCUGAGAACGCUUAUAAAUGAGAGAGACUCAGCUUAGGGCAGUUUCUGGCUCUGUGUGGACCACGUUCUCUCCUAGCGUCAGAGCUUUCCUCAGAGUUCUGUGAGAGCAGUGUUAACUGUGGACAGUCCUGGACUCACAUCACCCCAGUUUGUUGCCUCAGAAGACAAAACUCUCCCAGGAUCUUGAGAUGGAUCGAGAUUGAGAGUCCUGAGUUCAGAGCUCUUAAUGGAACGGGCAAAGUUCUAAGGAGAGAAGCUAUGGAGAUGGGGAAAGGAAACUCAGGUGGAGCAGAGAUGGAGGCACAAGCCAAGGCCUCUUCCUGUUAGGAUCAGUUGGUUAUGGCGGCCCCAGGAGAUGAAUGUAUGAGGACCCAGGUUCAAUUUCCAGCACAAUGUGGCAACUUAAAAGUGUAACUCCAGUCCCAGAGGAGCUGAUGCUUCCUUCUGACCUCAGGGGCCACCGGCAUGAAAGCGUAGGCAAAAGCACCCAUGCACAUAAAAGAGCUCACACCAAAUGAGAGGACUGGAGAGAGGGCCAAGUCUUUUUAAGCCCAAGAAGGAACCUGAAGGUUUCUCUCCCCGGCCAUGAAUGCUGCGCUCCAGGCACUGCUGCAGCACGGACUGCCGAGGAGCUCCGCACAGCAGACACCACCCCCACUUAAGAAUUAAAAGCAUUGUUUUUGAAAAAAA